UACGGGAGGCUCACCCCGCCCCUCCCAGCUUUACGGGGCCCAGUGGCCACCAGGAGCAGCCCUGGGGGUGUGCUGGGCAGGUGCAGGGGCAGCCCCAACGCGGGUCUACCCUCCUUUGCUCACCCUACCCCACCUGCCUUGUGAACGAGGCCUCACUUUUCCCGGCACUUAUUUUUAUACAAUUAUUUGAUAGCCACCUAAUAAAGCAGCUGCAAUGAGCGCUGGGUUCCAGAAUGGGGCACACCUCGUCCCUUCCCUGUCCAGUUCCAGCACAGAGCACAGGGCUGAGCUUGGAAAAAUGUGCACUUAAUGCCUGUUCGUGGGCCAACAGACAGAGGAACCCAGAUGCAGGCUGAGAGGCCAGAAGGGAAAGGGCUGCAUGAGGGGCUCAGAGACGGAGAGAGGAGAGCAGCCCAGGGCGUGGGGUGAGGAGC
rnacentral:lncRNA from 1 species